rnacentral:lncRNA from 10 species
GCUGAAGGGAAGUGGCGUGAACAUGGCUCAGUGCAACCUCCACCUCCCGGACUCAAGUGAUCUUCCCAUCUCAGCCUCCUAAGUAGCUGGGACCAUAGGUGUGUGCCACCAUGCCCGGCUAAUUUUUAAAUUUUUUGUAGAGAUGGUGUCCCACUAUGUGGAGUCUUCUUCAUAUUGAUCAAAGUGGCAGUUAAACAAGAAUAUAAUUACAUAAAAGUGUACCAAAAUGUAUAUUUAAGAUUGGUGCACAUUGCUGUAUAUAUUAUACUUUGAUAAAGAGUAUUACAGAAAAUUUUAAUUUUCUUCUUUUUGCUGUUUUCUAAAUGGUCACACCUUUUUCUCGGCUAUAUUUCCAAAAGUCUAAACUGAAACAUAAAUUAUAAUGAGAAGAAAAACAAUAAAGGUUAUUAUUUUUAAAACACUAGAGCUGAAUCUCAGCUACCUAUCUAGAUCUCUUGGCCUGAGCCCUGGACCCAGCUAAAAAUAGUUCAGAGCCUUGCCAGCUGGGAGCUGGGCUAUGUUUAGCAGAAACUGGCACACGAGUGAAAUGGGGUGGAGCCAAGUAGACACUUUGGAUCCGGUAGGCAUAGCUCUCCCACAGGAGACUGUUUAGGCCAUGCCUGGCAUCAGUAACUCAGGCUGUUUCCCACACUACAGGCCAGCACUGUGGGCUCUCAGUUUAUUGGGAAAUGGAAAUAAGAGGGAAGGACAAAAGUCCACUGGGAAGCAGACUGGACAGAAAGGAACUCUGAGCAGCUAAACUCUGACUAAUCCCAGGGUAUACCUGCGUUUUCUCUUCACCAGAUUUUUCCUACCAGGAAGAGCAUGUGCUGACCAACAGACAUGAAUUUCAGCCUGGUAGUUACAACAUUCACAGUAUACCCACAUCACUAAGCUGGGAGGCACAUUUUGAGACCCAGAAUCCUGACACCUCCAUGCCUUCAAAAGGACAAACUGCGGCCUGGACCAGCUGGUGAAACAUAAUUCUGAAUCCUGCCCACAGCCUUCGGUGGUUUUGGAUGAAAGGCCAGCGCCUUGGGAGCCCUGCGUUUGAUUUCAAGUUUUAAGGCCGGCACUGGUGGAGCAAUGAAUGGUGAAAGCUCUCCCCUUAAAGGAGCACAGUUGCCUUUAGGUGACUGCUAACUCAGGCUUUUGCUGAGGACAGUGUUUACUUUGUGAGCUUAAUGACAGGGCUGGCUUUCUGGGAGUGUUGCAAUGAAACAGACUCAGACACAGGCCAUCAUGGGCCUCCUCCCUAGCAAGGCCGCCACGGCUGGCAUCUCAAGAGCAGUCCGUUGAACUUGGGAUUUGGGUGUGAGACACAGUUUCAUCAGAAGAAUUUAAACCAAAGUCUACAUUUGCCCUCUAGAUAAAUGUGUGUGUUCAGCAGCAACCACAACUCCUUGCCUCAUUCUCUUGGUUGAUUAUGUGACUGUGAGAAGAAAAGCAAAAGCAAAAAUGCGAAGCGUAGCUAUGAUGCUAUUUUAGUUAAAAAUAUUCUGGUAGAAUUUGAAGGUACCAUAGAGAUUACCUACAGAUGGAAAAAACUGAAGGUCAGAGAUGGGAAGUGCCUUGUCCAAGAUCACACAGCAUAUAAGGGAAGAAGUAGGACUGAAAUCCAGAUUUCUCUGUUCCUGUUCCUGUUUUCUCUUUUCUUUUUUUGAGACAAGGUCUCACUCUGUCGCCCAGGUUGGAGUGCAAUGGUGCAAUCUCGGCUCACUGCAACCUCCAACUCUUAGGCUCCAGAGACCAUCCUACCUCAGCCUCUUUAGUAGCUGAGAUCCUGGCUAUUUUUUAUUUUUGGUAGAGAUAGGGUUUCACCAUGUGGCCCAGUCUUGUCUUGAACUCCUGAGCUCAAACGAUCCACCCACCUUGGCCUCCCAAAGCGUUGGGAAUAUAGUGUGAGCCACUGCACCCGGCCAGGUCCUGGUCUCUUUUCAUUAUUAUACAGCUGUCAACAAUCAUGGAGAGUUCUUUUUCCCUUUUGUUGGGUUCUUGUUCCUUUGCAAAGUCUAUAAAGAACCAAGAUGAUCCAGGAAAUUCAGGGAGUCCUCAUUCACUUCCAAAGGCAGUUUGUUGUCUGUUGGCUGUGCUGUAUGAAUUGCUGUUUCAAUUAAGUUUUUCAACAUUUCCUAUGAAGGCAUGCAAAUGACCACUGAUUCUAAAUAAACCCAUUUAGGUAUUCAGGGUUUAUAAAUAUAGAGAAUCUUGCUUUCUGCCUCAUUCUUUCUGUCUUCCCUGGCAUUCUUCCCUCUAUCCACCUCCACUGAGAUGCAUUUUUAUAAAAGACUUUACUUAGGACACAUAUUUUGAUGAAAUCCUUAACAUUUUUCUUCUUUCCCAAUUUUUAUAUUAUCAUUGUUAUAAUGCAUUACAAUAAUUUAUAUUUUGCAAAUUUGUUUUAAUAUGUUAAUUUUGCAAUGUAACUAUCUCAAGGCUUCUAAUGAGGAGAGGAGGAGGCCACAGAUAGGACUAGAUAGAGAGACUUUUAAAGAUGUGGGUAGGGUGUUUGUGAAUGUCUGGGCAGUGGAAUAUUUAUGCAGCACUGUGGGUGUUUUGAACCCUCUGGAAACUAACAAGCAAGCUCCACACAUAAACUUGGUGGAAGUCCUCCAAACUUUGGACAACACAGAGGCCUUUCAGAAGUCUGAACCAAGUCCAAGUCAAAUUACA